AACAAAAUGGCGGCCGUCUUGUCACAACUGACGUCGAAUACAGUUAAACGAUGCUGAUACAAGUUGCCCUCCAGAAUGCAUAGAACAAUCAAACUUUUCAAAUCAUAAGACAGAAAGAGAACAGUCAGCGUCAACGAGCACCACACCGAGCCACCCCGCUGCCCCAUAGAGUGCAGAUCAGUGUGGUGACAGGCCCAAUAUCCACUGCAGAUUCCUCUCUUUCUCCAGUCAAGUGGCGCUGAACGAGCCCUUCAAAGACAAUAAACGCUGCGGACCGAGGUCGUAUCAAUAUCAUAGGAGCCAG